GCGCCUGUAGCUUAGUGGAUAGAGUGUUGUUUCGUAAGCAGAAUGUCGCAGGUUCGACCCCUACAUGGCGCA
rfam:Nicotiana sylvestris Nsyl_contig179316, whole genome shotgun sequence.